rnacentral:rRNA from 1 species
UAUUAUUUUGGAUUUAAAGGUUUAUACUUGAGUAGUAUUUGUUAAGGGCAUGAAACUUAAAGAAUUUGGCGGUAUUUUAGUCUUUUUAGAGGAAUCUGUUCCGUUAUCGAUAACCCCCGUUAAACCUUACUUAAUUAAUAAAUUCAAGAUUUGUAUACCGCCGUUUUUGAUUAUCCUUUUAGGGGAUACUCUUUUUGUUCUAUUAAAAUUUAUUUCAGGUCAAGGUGCAGUUUAUAAUUAAGUGGAAAUGGAUUACAAUAUAGUUUAUGUAAAUGAAUUAUAAGUUUGAAAACUUAUUUGAAGGUGGAUUUAAUAGUAAUUUUAAUUAGAAUAUUAAUAUGAUUUUAGCUCUAAAAUGUGUACACAUCGCCCGUCACUCUCAUUAAUAAGAUGAG